UACAGAGGUGGCAAGCGUUGUUCGGAAUUACUGGGCGUAAAGAGCGUGUAGGCGGUCAGGUAGGUCCGUUGUGAAAACUCGAGGCUCAACCUCGAGACGCCGAUGGAAACCAUCUGACUAGAGUCCGGAAGAGGAGAGUGGAAUUCCUGGUGUAGCGGUGAAAUGCGCAGAUAUCAGGAAGAACACCCGUGGCUAAGGCGGCUCUCUAGUACGGUACUGACGCUGAGACGCGAAAGCGUGGGGAGCGAACAGG
rnacentral:rRNA from 1 species